rnacentral:rRNA from 1 species
CAGUCGCGUUCUCUGGGAUCCAGCCUUGCUUCUUGCUUGGUGCAUUUCCUAGUCUACGGGCCAGCAUGAAUCUUGAGCGGUGGAAAAGGGUUUGGGGAAUGUGGCACCUCCGGGUGUGUUAUAGCCCCUUGCUGUAUACGGUGCUUGGGAUCGAGGUCUGCAGCACGCCUUUGGUCGGGUUCGCCCACGCCACGUGCUUAGGAUGCUGGCAUAAUGGCUUUAAACGCCCGUCUUGAAACACGGACCAAGGAGUCUAACAUAUAUGCGAGUGUU